rnacentral:rRNA from 1 species
UGCGUAGGGUGCGAGCGUUAAUCGGAAUUACUGGGCGUAAAGCGUGCGCAGGCGGUUUUGUAAGCCAGAUGUGAAAUCCCCGGGCUUAACCUGGGAAUGGCAUUUGGGACUGCAAGGCUGGAGUGCGGCAGAGGAGACUGGAAUUCCUGGUGUAGCAGUGAAAUGCGCAGAUAUCAGGAGGAACACCGGUGGCGAAGGCGGAUCUCUGGGCCUUACCUGACGCUGAGGCGCGAAAGCUAGGGGAGCAAACAGG